rnacentral:lncRNA from 10 species
CCUCCCCCCCUUCCCCCCUGCCCCAAGUGCUUAGACCGAAGGCGGCGCUGCGCCACCGGGGGACGCCCUGGGCUCAUUUCUCUGACAGUCCUUCUACUAGGUAGGUGUAGGAUUACGAAGAGGAAGGCCUGAGAGGAAACAAGCAUUUUGUGAAUCCCUCCUUCCAAUAUGGAGAAAAUCCCACAAUGAAGUGCAUUGAGGCUGGGGCUAUUUCUCAUUCAUCUUUUUAUCUCUGGCACAGUGCCUGGCCCUGUGCUUAGGGGUUUCACUGGCUGCAUUCCCUGGCAUAAAGCGAUGAGCACAUGCUUUGGAUCACACACCCCUGGGUUCAAAUUCUGGUUCUGUCACUUACUGGCUGAUGAGCCUU